rnacentral:rRNA from 1 species
AGGACGAACGCUGGCGGCGUGCUUAACACAUGCAAGUCGAGCGGAAAGGCCCUUCGGGGUACUCGAGCGGCGAACGGGUGAGUAACACGUGGGCAACCUGCCCUUAGCUCUGGGAUAGCUCCGGGAAACCGGAAUUAAUACCGAAUAUGACUCCGGCCGACAUCGGCUGUGGUGGAAAGUUUUUCGGCUAGGGAUGAGCUCGCGGCCUAUCAGCUUGUUGGUGGGGUAACGGCCUACCAAGGCGACGACGGGUA